ensembl:miRNA
GGUUAGCCUAAAAGUUCGUUGGGGUUUUUCUUUAUGAUCUUAUGGAAGAACCCUAACAAAAUUUUUGGCCCACC